rnacentral:rRNA from 1 species
CAGCCGCCGCGGUAAUACGUAGGUCCCGAGCGUUGUCCGGAUUUAUUGGGCGUAAAGCGAGCGCAGGCGGUUAGAUAAGUCUGAAGUUAAAGGCUGUGGCUUAACCAUAGUACGCUUUGGAAACUGUCUAACUUGAGUGCAAGAGGGGAGAGUGGAAUUCCAUGUGUAGCGGUGAAAUGCGUAGAUAUAUGGAGGAACACCGGUGGCGAAAGCGGCUCUCUGGCUUGUAACUGACGCUGAGGCUCGAAAGCGUGGGGAGCAAACAGGAUUAGAUACCCCUGUAGUCCCUGUCUCUUAUACA